rnacentral:lncRNA from 1 species
UUGAGCUGUGACCCCUUGUGGGGCGAGCGUCCGCCAGCUCCAAAGUCGGACACACCCAUCAUCUCCAGAUGAGGCCAAGAUAGUGCCUGUUAAGUUCCAGCAGACGCGCCACACUGUGGAGCCGUGGUCGUCAAAUUGUCCUGCUUGACGCACCUCAAAUAUUGACAAACUGCUCUGGUUCUGUGUUGAGUCUUCUCUGAAAAGAACAGAGAAAGAUAGAGUAUACUGUAUCAAUAUAACACUUCAAUUGAACUACAAUACACAACUGGGAAAGGAGUUACCAAUAAUGCUGGCAAACUACCAUACCACCCAAACUAACGGCAGGGUAGUAAACCAUAUCAGCAUGGGUAGGUCUGGCGGCUCACCAGGCAGUCUUACCUGUCUGUCCAUACAGAGAUGUCUGUCCCGAGCUCUUGCCUCUGUACAGUACUGAUACUCUUUCAGUAAACUCCAAUGAACUAA